rnacentral:lncRNA from 1 species
UGAAGAGUGACUGAAAUUUCUCAAAAGAAAGGCCUUCCUAGAUCUAAGACCCUCUUUGGUUACCACCCACUGAGAGGAGAGAUCCCAAGGCCCCAGGAUGAGGCUCAGGCUUAUGAUCUAGCCAGAGAGCAUCAUGGUGGAAAUAGAAGAUUCUGAGUUAAACAGCCUGGCAAAUAAAGAGCAGACAAAUGGUAUCACAGAGUGAUGUCUUGACUUACUCUGAAAUUGGAUUUAAGUGAGGAAGAAGUGCACAAAGAUGUCAGCCUCAUUCUUUCAGUCAUCAAUGUAUAGGUAAGACAAAAAGUCAG